rnacentral:rRNA from 1 species
GACGAACGCUGGCGGCGUGCUUAACACAUGCAAGUCGAACGGAAAGGCCCUGCUUUUGUGGGGUGCUCGAGUGGCGAACGGGUGAGUAACACGUGAGUAACCUGCCCUUGACUUUGGGAUAACUUCAGGAAACUGGGGCUAAUACCGGAUAGGAGCUCCUGCUGCAUGGUGGGGGUUGGAAAGUUUCGGCGGUUGGGGAUGGACUCGCGGCUUAUCAGCUUGUUGGUGGGGUAGUGGCUUACCAAGGCUUUGACGGGUAGCCGGCCUGAGAGGGUGACCGGCGACAUGGGGACUGAGAUACGGCCCAGAAUCCAACGGGAGGCAGCAGUGGGGAAUAUUGCACAAUGGGCGGAAGCCUGAUGCAGAAACGCCGCGUGCGGGAUGACGGCCUUCGGGUUGUAAACCGCUUUCGCCUGUGACGAAGAGUGAGUGACGGUAAUGGGUAAAGAAGCACCGGCUAACUACGUG